ACUUUUACAGAUAUUGACGAGUGUGAAAUAGAUCCAUGUACAUUCCUCUUUGAUUGCUUUGAUGGGCUAAAUAAUCGGGUUUGUAAACUCAACGAAUUCAAAUUGGCCGCAAUAGUAACAGCACUAGCACUUACUAUCGGAAUCACUGCAUUCAUUAUCUACAAAAACAAGAAGAAAUACAAGGAAGUAGACCAUUCCUGGCUAUCCAACUACUUAGAUGUUCGAAAACCUGACUCUCACCCAAAACUUGUUGUCUGAAGCUAGUCAUUUUAGAGGCGGUACAAUAAGUUGGCAACCCACUGGAAUCGGUUAUGGGGUCCAGUUCUCAUUUAAGUUGGGAUGGAUAUACGGCCAAGGACCUGGUUGCACUCCAGCGCUGAUAGGUUCCCUGGUCACGGGGAUGAAUAGUACCUUCUGGAGGUGUACGUCUGGUUGUACUUCAACCUCUCAACCUUUGAGUACAGUGAACUACAUUUGUACAGGAGCCAGUGUAGCUGAGAAUUGGGAACAAGGGGAAAGAAAUUUUGAAUUUACAUUUCCAGGAGAAGGUCCAUUUGU